rnacentral:rRNA from 1 species
AANCUCUGACGCAGCGACGCCGCGUGAAGGAUGAAGGCCUCUGGGUUGUAAACUUCUGUAGAGAGGGAAGAAUUUCUCGCUCCGCGAGAUUGACGGUACCUCUAAAGUAAGGGUCGGCUAACUACGUGCCAGCAGCCGCGGUAAUACGUAGGACCCAAGCGUUGUCCGGAUUUACUGGGUGUAAAGGGAGCGCAGGCGGAUUAUUAAGUCGAUUGUGAAAUCUUGCGGCUCAACCGCAAAACAGCAGUCGAUACUGUUAAUCUUGAGUGUGGAAGAGAGUGGCGGAAUUCAUGGUGUAGCAGUGAAAUGCGUAGAUAUCAUGAAGAACACCGGUUGCGAAGGCGGCCACUUAGUCCAUUACUGACGCUCAUGCUCGAAAGCGUGGGGAUCAAACAGGAUUAGAUACCCUGGUAGUCCACGCCCUAAACGAUGAAUACUCGGUGUCGGGUCGCAAGAUUCGGCGCCUAAGCAAACGCAUUAAGUAUUCCACCUGGGAAGUACGAUCGCAAGGUUGAAACUCAAAUGAA